UACGGAGGGGACUAGCGUUGUUCGGAAUUACUGGGCGUAAAGCGCACGUAGGCGGAUUUGUAAGUCAGGGGUGAAAUCCCGGGGCUCAACCCCGGAACUGCCUUUGAUACUGCGAAUCUCGAGUCCGGAAGAGGUGAGUAGAAUUCCUAGUGUAGAGGUGAAAAUUCGUAGAUAUUAGGAAGAACACCAGUGGCGAAGGCGGCUCACUGGUCCGGUACUGACGCUGAGGUGCGAAAGCGUGGGGAGCAAACAGG
rnacentral:rRNA from 1 species